rnacentral:rRNA from 1 species
UACGGGGGGAGCAAGCGUUGUUCGGAUUUACUGGGCGUAAAGGGCGCGUAGGCGGCCACCGCAAGUCGACUGUGAAAUCUCCGGGCUUAACCCGGAAAGGUCAGCCGAUACUGCGGGGCUAGAGUGCAGAAGGGGCAACUGGAAUUCUCGGUGUAGCGGUGAAAUGCGUAGAUAUCUGGAGGAACACCGGUGGCGAAAGCGGCUCACUGGACCGUCUCUGACGCUGAGGUGCGAAAGCUAGGGUAGCAAACGGG